rnacentral:rRNA from 1 species
AAACUUUACAAUGCGGGAAACCGUGAUAAGGGAACUCCGAGUGCCCGUAAAAUCGGGCUGUCCAUCUGUUUAAAUAACAGGUGAAGAAAGGGCCGGGCAAGACCGGUGCCAGCCGCCGCGGUAAUACCGGCGGCUCGAGUGGUGGCCACUAUUACUGGGCUUAAAGCGUUCGUAGCUGGUCUGUUAAGUCUCUGGGGAAAUCUACUGGCUUAACCAAUAGGCGUUUCAGGGAUACUGGCAGACUAGGGACCGGGAGAGGUGAGAGGUACUCCAGGGGUAGGAGUGAAAUCCUGUAAUCCUUGGGGGACCACCUGUGGCGAAGGCGUCUCACCAGAACGGCUCCGACAGUGAGGGACGAAAGCUGGGGGAGCAAACCGGAUUAGAUACCCGGGUAGUCCCAGCUGUAAACGAUGCGCGUUAGGUGUAUCGGAGACCACGAGUCAUCGAGGUGCCGAAGAGAAAUCGUGAAACGUGCCGCCUGGGAAGUACGGUCGCAAGGCUGAAACUUAA